rnacentral:rRNA from 1 species
UUAAGUUAUUAAGGGCGCACGGUGGAUGCCUUGGCACUAGAAGCCGAUGAAGGACGUUACUAACGACGAUAUGCUUUGGGGAGCUGUAAGUAAGCUUUGAUCCAGAGAUUUCCGAAUGGGGAAACCCAGCAUGAGUUAUGUCAUGUUAUCGAUAUGUGAAUACAUAGCAUAUCAGAAGGCACACCCGGAGAACUGAAACAUCUUAGUACCCGGAGGAAGAGAAAGAAAAUUCGAUUCCCUUAGUAGCGGCGAGCGAAACGGGAAGAGCCCAAACCAACAAGCUUGCUUGUUGGGGUUGUAGGACACUCUAUACGGAGUUACAAAGGACGACAUUAGACGAAUCAUCUGGAAAGAUGAAUCAAAGAAGGUAAUAAUCCUGUAGUCGAAAAUGUUGUCUCUCUUGAGUGGAUCCUGAGUACGACGGAGCACGUGAAAUUCCGUCGGAAUCUGGGAGGACCAUCUCCUAAGGCUAAAUACUCUCUAGUGACCGAUAGUGAACCAGUACCGUGAGGGAAAGGUGAAAAGCACCCCGGAAGGGGAGUGAAAUAGAACCUGAAACCGUGUGCUUACAAGUAGUCAGAGCCCGUUAAUGGGUGAUGGCGUGCCUUUUGUAGAAUGAACCGGCGAGUUACGAUUUGAUGCAAGGUUAAGCAGUAAAUGUGGAGCCGUAGCGAAAGCGAGUCUGAAUAGGGCGUUUAGUAUUUGGUCGUAGACCCGAAACCAGGUGAUCUACCCUUGGUCAGGUUGAAGUUCAGGUAACACUGAAUGGAGGACCGAACCGACUUACGUUGAAAAGUGAGCGGAUGAACUGAGGGUAGCGGAGAAAUUCCAAUCGAACCUGGAGAUAGCUGGUUCUCUCCGAAAUAGCUUUAGGGCUAGCCUCAAGUGAUGAUUAUUGGAGGUAGAGCACUGUUUGGACGAGGGGCCCCUCUCGGGUUACCGAAUUCAGACAAACUCCGAAUGCCAAUUAAUUUAACUUGGGAGUCAGAACAUGGGUGAUAAGGUCCGUGUUCGAAAGGGAAACAGCCCAGACCACCAGCUAAGGUCCCAAAAUAUAUGUUAAGUGGAAAAGGAUGUGGCGUUGCCCAGACAACUAGGAUGUUGGCUUAGAAGCAGCCAUCAUUUAAAGAGUGCGUAAUAGCUCACUAGUCGAGUGACACUGCGCCGAAAAUGUACCGGGGCUAAACAUAUUACCGAAGCUGUGGAUUGUCCUUUGGACAAUGGUAGGAGAGCGUUCUAAGGGCGUUGAAGCAUGAUCGUAAGGACAUGUGGAGCGCUUAGAAGUGAGAAUGCCGGUGUGAGUAGCGAAAGACGGGUGAGAAUCCCGUCCACCGAUUGACUAAGGUUUCCAGAGGAAGGCUCGUCCGCUCUGGGUUAGUCGGGUCCUAAGCUGAGGCCGACAGGCGUAGGCGAUGGAUAACAGGUUGAUAUUCCUGUACCACCUAUAAUCGUUUUAAUCGAUGGGGGGACGCAGUAGGAUAGGCGAAGCGUGCGAUUGGAUUGCACGUCUAAGCAGUAAGGCUGAGUAUUAGGCAAAUCCGGUACUCGUUAAGGCUGAGCUGUGAUGGGGAGAAGACAUUGUGUCUUCGAGUCGUUGAUUUCACACUGCCGAGAAAAGCCUCUAGAUAGAAAAUAGGUGCCCGUACCGCAAACCGACACAGGUAGUCAAGAUGAGAAUUCUAAGGUGAGCGAGCGAACUCUCGUUAAGGAACUCGGCAAAAUGACCCCGUAACUUCGGGAGAAGGGGUGCUCUUUAGGGUUAACGCCCAGAAGAGCCGCAGUGAAUAGGCCCAAGCGACUGUUUAUCAAAAACACAGGUCUCUGCUAAACCGUAAGGUGAUGUAUAGGGGCUGACGCCUGCCCGGUGCUGGAAGGUUAAGAGGAGUGGUUAGCUUCUGCGAAGCUACGAAUCGAAGCCCCAGUAAACGGCGGCCGUAACUAUAACGGUCCUAAGGUAGCGAAAUUCCUUGUCGGGUAAGUUCCGACCCGCACGAAAGGCGUAACGAUUUGGGCACUGUCUCAACGAGAGACUCGGUGAAAUCAUAGUACCUGUGAAGAUGCAGGUUACCCGCGACAGGACGGAAAGACCCCGUGGAGCUUUACUGUAGCCUGAUAUUGAAAUUCGGCACAGCUUGUACAGGAUAGGUAGGAGCCUUUGAAACGUGAGCGCUAGCUUACGUGGAGGCGCUGGUGGGAUACUACCCUAGCUGUGUUGGCUUUCUAACCCGCAUCACUUAUCGUGGUGGGAGACAGUGUCAGGCGGGCAGUUUGACUGGGGCGGUCGCCUCCUAAAAGGUAACGGAGGCGCUCAAAGGUUCCCUCAGAAUGGUUGGAAAUCAUUCAUAGAGUGUAAAGGCAUAAGGGAGCUUGACUGCGAGACCUACAAGUCGAGCAGGGUCGAAAGACGGACUUAGUGAUCCGGUGGUUCCGCAUGGAAGGGCCAUCGCUCAACGGAUAAAAGCUACCCCGGGGAUAACAGGCUUAUCUCCCCCAAGAGUUCACAUCGACGGGGAGGUUUGGCACCUCGAUGUCGGCUCAUCGCAUCCUGGGGCUGUAGUCGGUCCCAAGGGUUGGGCUGUUCGCCCAUUAAAGCGGUACGCGAGCUGGGUUCAGAACGUCGUGAGACAGUUCGGUCCCUAUCCGUCGUGGGCGUAGGAAAUUUGAGAGGAGCUGUCCUUAGUACGAGAGGACCGGGAUGGACAUACCUCUGGUGUACCAGUUGUCGUGCCAACGGCAUAGCUGGGUAGCUAUGUGUGGACGGGAUAAGUGCUGAAAGCAUCUAAGCAUGAAGCCCCCCUCAAGAUGAGAUUUCCCAACUUCGGUUAUAAGAUCCCUCAAAGAUGAUGAGGUUAAUAGGUUCGAGGUGGAAGCAUGGUGACAUGUGGAGCUGACGAAUACUAAUCGAUCGAAGACUUAAUCAA